GACGGAGGAUGCAAGCGUUAUCCGGAAUGAUUGGGCGUAAAGCGUCCGCAGGUGGCAGUUCAAGUCUGCUGUCAAAGACCGGGGCUUAACUUCGGAAAGGCAGUGGAAACUGAACAGCUAGAGUAUGGUAGGGGCAGAGGGAAUUCCUGGUGUAGCGGCGAAAUGCGUAGAGAUCAGGAGGAACACCUGUGGCGAAAGCGGCGCACUGGACCACAACUGACGCUGAGGCGCGAAAGCUAGGGGAGCAAACAGG
rnacentral:rRNA from 1 species